CUGAUUCAUUUUUCCUUUAAUUCAAUUUACCAAAAUGUGUGGGCAGAGCCUGAGCCUCUGGGCAUAUUAACAUUAAUAAAACACAAUUAAGCAAAUGUUAUUAUGUUGCCAGCAACAAAAAGAAUGCCCCUGAGUGUACAACUUCCCCUCGCUGUAAUAAAUAUGCAGACAUGAGAACUGUGCCUUGCAACCCGUUGCUUAAACAGCUUUAAAAAACCAAAAUACCCACUUUGGUGAAUACAAAGAAGCCAUCGGGAGUAGACCAAAAGUGAACGCACCGAGGCCUUUUGCUGGAAGAGAAGGCAUGAGAGGAGCAGUGCGCCACAGUCAAAACUCCACCCUCAGCAAAAAGAACAGAGGAACAAAAGCAGCGAGUGUGAAACCCAUCUCCAGCUUUCCUUGUCAUUGCAACGAAUGGAAGUCUGCGGCUGUGUGCAAAUACUGUCUCUGCAGCAGUACAAGGAGGAUGCGAGGUGCCAGCACUCAUCCCACCACUGAGAGGAGGAUUCGGUUUCUGGCUGCUGUUGGUAAAAGACAGAUGUACAAUACACAAAGCAAGAGCUGACAUUCAGAAUGUGUGUCACCGUUUGCACUGGGCAGGUUGGUGUAACCGUUUGCAUGUCCGCCUUGCAGUGCAGUCCUGUUGGUGAGUGCAGGAAUCAUUUCCAGCUCUCAGCCCUGCCCUCUCAUCUCUCAUUCUCCUGUUUCCAGUUGCUGAACCCAUCCCCAGCCCGUGACUGUCAGCCUUGGUGCUUCCAUGUCUCUCCUGAAUCCACAGUGUGGAAAAACCAGGCCACAAACAUGUUGAGAAGACAGAUGGAUUUCAGCGAGGCUCAGGGGGCUGCAGAGAGGGUCUGGGUACAGGAAAUUGGCAAAGUAGAUGAGGAGAUGGGAGGAAUUUGUGAUGGUAAGGAAGCAGGAGUGGAGGAGGAAGGAUGGGGGAACAGGCUGGUGCAGCAACGGAGAGGUGCAGCUUAGUCUGAGAGCCAGGAAGGGAGGGCAGGAAAGCUCGCGUGGGCUUUGCUGUUGAGGCAAGGAUGAGGAUGGGAUGGGCAUCUUAAUGCUUUGGGAAUGGAAAUGGAAGACUUCUUAAGUCUCAAAUGAUAUCCAGUGGGUGUUUCCUGAGCCAGGAGAUGUCCCACCUUGGCCACCACUAGGAAAAAGAGCAGACAGAGAUGGCAACUCUCUUCUUGUCAACAGCACAAAUUGUCAACAGCACAAAGGGAGUUUUUGAGGAAGAGAUAGCUAACCAGUGAGAAGCAUUGGCUAAAUGGUUACUUAAGAAGAUUCAUUUUUCAAAGCCUGUGGUACUCAUGCACUGGAACUAACAGUUUCCAGGUCCAAUCUCCUGCUGGCGGGAGGACGCUGAGAAGUGCAGCUGACAGAUGGGUGUGCUUGCAGCCAAUCUCCCUGCGGUGCCCUGGCAAUGUACGGUGCAGCGCAGUGGAAAAGCACCGUUCAUGGAACAGACUGGAAACGAGAGCACUGACAGUGAGCUGUACUUGGACCAGCUCAGCCAAGCUGUAUUUCUGCACUGCUUAUAAAACCAGAAUUCAAUUUAUACGUGGAUUCCAGAGUAUCAUCAGGUAGAAAAUAACAACAUGGUCCUAAAUCCUCUUCCCUCCUCUUCACGCAGUCAUAGGGGAGGAUGCUGCAUUACCCCUCGAUGCUAUGGGUGAAUUUCCUUAAGUUUUGUAAGCUGCCAUUUGCAUCCUUUCUUUCCCCUUUUCUAUCACCACAGCUUAUGACAUGUUAACGUUGCUGACAUUGUUCCCAGGUCCAUGGGAUGCCAGUGGGCAUGUCCAUCUUGCCUGGUGCUGCUGCAGUGAAGGACUGCAAACCCACAUGUGCAUUCACGUCUGUAAUGGUUCAGAGACUCCAGAAGAUCAUAUUAAAUUAAAUUAAGGAGAGUAAAAUGUGUAUCAGGGGCAAUAUGAGGUGAUGCUUCAUUUCCAGUGUCCCAACUUGUUAAAAUAAAAAGCAUUCAUUCCAGUUGAAUAUUUAUCACUAAAUUUGAAGCAAAAGUAAAAAUGCCCUUUGGUUUCUCUGCAAGAAAAGUAAAGCCUCAUUGAAAUCUCACCACGGAGGAAUAUUUUUAACAUACAGAAAGUUUCCUGUUUUUAAAGGCAGUAAUGCAAAUUUGAAGUAAGACAAUGUAAAUUAUAGAGUGACUUCAAUGAGCUAUUUUGUGACCUUGCGAUCUUUAGAGCUAUUGAAGGGAGUCAACCGUGCUUCUGGUGGGUGGCUGCACAUGGAACCGAAGGGAAAUAUGUUGUGGGGGUGAGGGUGCCUGGCUGCUGUGAUGCAUAAGUGACGAUUUAGGGUUAGUGAGGAUGUCUGUGUUGCCUUAGUGAUGGCUUCCUGGGAUUUUUUUGGUGGCGUUCACAAGAACUCGAACUGGGGCUUUGUUUUGCAAAUCCAAUGGUGGGGCGUGGGCAAAUCACCCAUAUUUCCCUCUGCUGACUGACUGCCUCUGGUUGCUUCAUCUGAAUCCUGCUCAGUUUAGCUCAUAAAAACCUCUGUUUAUUGAAGUCUCCAGAACUGAGUACUGUAGCUUUUCUGGAUGGGAAUGGGAUGAGG
ensembl:lncRNA